UACGUAGGGUGCAAGCGUUGUCCGGAAUUAUUGGGCGUAAAGAGCGUGUAGGCGGCCCGACCAGUCCGCUGUGAAAGUCCAGGGCUCAACCCUGGGAUGCCGGUGGAUACUGUCGAGCUCGAGUCCGGAAGAGGCGAGUGGAAUUCCUGGUGUAGCGGUGAAAUGCGCAGAUAUCAGGAGGAACACCAAUGGCGAAGGCAGCUCGCUGGGACGUGACUGACGCUGAGACGCGAAAGCGUGGGGAGCAAACAGG
rnacentral:rRNA from 1 species